CCAAUAGCGUAUAUUAAAGUUGUUGCAGUUAAAAAGCUCGUAGUUGAAUUUCGGGAUCAAUACGUCGGUCGUGCCUUCGGUACGCACUGGGGUCGUUGAUUCCUCCCUUCUGAUGAAACAUGAUGUCAUUAAUUUGGUGUUGUGGGGAGUCAGGACUGUUACUUUGAAAAAAUUAGAGUGUUUAAAGCAGGCAAACGCUUGAAUACAUUAGCAUGGAAUAAUGAAAUAGGACGUUCGAACCUAUUUUGUUGGUUUCUAGGUACAACGUAAUGAUUAAUAGGGAUAGUUGGGGGCAUUAGUAUUCAAUUGUCAGAGGUGAAAUUCUUGGAUUUAUUGAAGACUAACUACUGCGAAAGCAUUUGCCAAGGAUGUUUUCAUUAAUCAAGAACGAAAGUUAGGGGAUCGAAGACGAUCAGAUACCGUCGUAGUCUUAACCAUAAACUAUGCCGACUAGGGAUCGGAUGAAGUUAAUUUUAUAAUGACUCAUUCGGCGCCUUACG
rnacentral:rRNA from 1 species